UACGUAGGGGGCUAGCGUUGUUCGGAAUCACUGGGCGUAAAGCGCACGCAGGCGGAUUGAUAAGUCAGGGGUGAAAUCCCGGGGCUCAACCUCGGAAUUGCCUUUGAUACUGUCUGUCUUGAGUUCGGGAGAGGUUGGCGGAAUUCCUAGUGUAGAGGUGAAAUUCGUAGAUAUUAGGAAGAACACCAGUGGCGAAGGCGGCCAACUGGCCCGAUACUGACGCUCAUGUGCGAAAGCGUGGGGAGCAAACAGG
rnacentral:rRNA from 1 species